AAAUUGAAGAGUUUGAUCAUGGCUCAGAUUGAACGCUGGCGGCAGGCCUAACACAUGCAAGUCGAACGGUAACAGGGAUCAGCUUGCUGAUUCGCUGACGAGUGGCGGACGGGUGAGUAAUGUCUGGGAAACUGCCUGAUGGAGGGGGAUAACUACUGGAAACGGUAGCUAAUACCGCAUAACGUCGCAAGACCAAAGAGGGGGACCUUC
rnacentral:rRNA from 1 species